GGGGAUUUAGCUCAGCGGCAUAAGUACCUGCUUUGCAAGCAGGUGGUCGUGAGUUCAAUCCCCG
rnacentral:tRNA from 1 species